UCUAAAAGAAAUACUAGUUCAAUCUAAGUUUUGAUAAUUACCUUCCCAACAAUGAAAUAUAUAAUCACUUUUAAAGCAGAAAAAGACGGCGCAUCACUUUGCUUCAAUUCUUGCAGCAUCUACUCUUGGUCGGUUGCCUUAACAAUAACAGAUUUUUCAUUUCCCAUUUCUCGGGUUUAGUGAACUCAAAACGGGGGAUUAAGUGAAUUUGCAGGAGUGUUUGAGUCAACAUCCAAUGCUGCCGCUUUCCCCAACAAAGAUUUGUGUUUGUGAAGGAUUGAAAUCCUUUUCUCCACAUGGGAUGAGAUUUGAUUCCAACUGCUUUAGUCUUGACUUAGCUUCCUCUAAUUCAUGUCUUUACCUUAACAAUGUUGGAAACUCUAAACUGUUUCUGUCUGCUUCUCGGUCGUUACAUCGAUCUGGAUUGCAAAAUUUAAGACAAUGCGGGCUGAGCAGUUACCGAGUUAGGGUGAAAGAUGGAGCACACUGUCUAGGAUCAGAUAACAUCACGUUUGUAGAUGACCAGCAAGUGGAUUUUCUCAUGAACACAGUUGAUAAUGCCGAGGCGCUUCCUGUUGAAUCAGUUGUGCAGCCUUCUCAUCUGCUAUCUCAUUCAUUCGACAUGGAUGAAGAUUCACUAUCGUAUCUGGAGGCAAAAUUGUCUGAUAUUGUUUCCAUUUUGCGCGAAUCUGCUGCUGAUGCAUCUAAGAUAGGAGAAAGUGUUCUGAAAAAUACCAAUCGAGCAGUUAGCGAUUCCAUCGAUGAGAUUAUCUUGUUUGUCAAAAAAUCUGCAGGAUCACAGUCGCCCGGUGGUAUGUUGUCUGGACUAUCUAGUGAGUUGAAGGAAGCAUCGGGCAGAGCCGGGCCUUUUGCACUUGAUGUUUUAAGGGGAACAAUUGUUGUAGGUGAAGACUCUUUGAUACGAGGGGGGAAAGCUGUCGCAUAUGCUUACAGUUUCGUGAAGGGAUAUCUCCCUCCACAAGUCCGAGAAGCAUUUGGUGUAUCCGAAGAAAGAGUAGAGAAAGUACUAUAUCCUGUUGGAACUGCACUUCAUCAGGUUUACAUGUCAGUGGAGGGAUUUGAAGAAAGUCUUGGCCUCGACCCUAAUGAUCCACUCGUUCCUUUUGUUCUUUUCCUUGGACUCUCGGUGACUCUAUGGGCUUCUUAUAGGAUAGUAAAAUAUAGUGGAUAUGCAGGAGAUAUGUCUCCUAAGUCGGCUCUGGAGCUCGUACAAGGGAAUGAAAAUGCUGUUCUUGUAGACAUUCGACCUGAGAAUUUCAAGGAAAGAGAUGGCGUUCCUGAUCUUCGAAGGGCAGCUCGAUUUCGAUAUGCCAGCGUGACACUUCCUGAGGUUGAUCGCUCCAUGAAGAAGUUGCUGAAGGGGGGAAGAGAUAUUGAAUACACAUUGCUAGCUGCCGUUAUCCGUAACCUUAACAUAGUUGAUGAAAGGUCUAAAGUUUUAGUUAUGGAUGCUGAUGGAACUUUCUCUAAGGGCGUCGCGAGAUCACUGAGAAAGCUUGGGACUAAGAAACCUUAUAUUGUCAAAGGUGGCUUUCGGGCUUGGGUUAAAAACGGGUUACGUAUUAAGAUGGCAAAACCCGAGACAGCAUUUACAAUACUUAAUGAGGAGGCUGAAGCGAUAUUGGAGGAAAUUAAGCCAACUCCGUUGAAAACCAUUGGGUAUGGAGUGGGUUUUGCUGCAGCCAUCUAUUCAAUAGUAGAAGGUAGAAACUUUCGAUGGCUAACAAUGCAUGAAUCUCUAUGGAGUUGAAUAUUUCACCACAACUUAGAAGAAUUUGGUGAAAAACAGUUCCAGGUUUGUAAACGAAGAAUAAUAUCCAAAAACAUGUAAAUGCGUGGAAUCAGGAACAGAGUCAGGUGUAUUUUGGACGAAGUUAUAGACUGUAGCCUCAGUACAUCAUUUGUACGAGUGAAACCACUUCAUUCGGCCACAAAUUUGUUUUUCGAUCGUUGGUGGCCUCAGUUUUCCUCGAGAUUAAGCUGUGCUUGGACCUUCUGUUAAAGUAAUGUUAAAUGGCUGUAUAUCAUUUCAUUUGUCAUGUCAAGUUUAACAAUUCUUCUCCCUUCCUGCAGAAUGGGAGACGACUCUGCAGUUUAUCGGUGUUAUUGGUCUGGGCCAGAGCCUAAUCCGACGAGUUGCUUCAUACGAGAACGUAGAAGAUUUGAAGCAGGACGUGAGGCUGCUGCUAACUCCAGUGAGACUAGGCGGCCGGGCAAUCUC